rnacentral:rRNA from 1 species
GUGCCAGCAGCCGCGGUAAUACGAAGGGGGCUAGCGUUGCUCGGAAUUACUGGGCGUAAAGGGCGCGUAGGCGGCUUGCCAAGUCAGGCGUGAAAUUCCAGGGCUCAACCUGGGGACUGCGCUUGAUACUGGCUGAGCUUGAGGAUGGAAGAGGCUCGUGGAAUUCCCAGUGUAGAGGUGAAAUUCGUAGAUAUUGGGAAGAACACCGGUGGCGAAGGCGGCGAGCUGGUCCAUUACUGACGCUGAGGCGCGACAGCGUGGGGAGCAAACAGGAUUAGAUACCCUGGUAGUCCACCCCGUAAACGAUGUGCGCUGGAUGUUGGGUGACCUAGUCACUCAGUGUCGUAGCUAACGCGGUAAGCGCACCGCCUGGGGAGUACGGCCGCAAGGUUGAAACUCAAAUGAAUUGNCGG